rnacentral:rRNA from 1 species
UGGGGAAUCUUGGACAAUGGGCGCAAGCCUGAUCCAGCAAUGCCGCGUGCAGGAUGAAGGCCUUCGGGUUGUAAACUGCUUUUGUACGGAGCGAAAAGGUCUGCCCUAAUACGGUUGGCUCAUGACGGUACCGUAAGAAUAAGCACCGGCUAACUACGUGCCAGCAGCCGCGGUAAUACGUAGGGUGCGAGCGUUAAUCGGAAUUACUGGGCGUAAAGCGUGCGCAGGCGGUUAUAUAAGACAGAUGUGAAAUCCCCGGGCUCAACCUGGGACCUGCAUUUGUGACUGUACAGCUAGAGUACGGUAGAGGGGGAUGGAAUUCCGCGUGUAGCAGUGAGAUGCGUAGAUAUGCGAAGGAACACCGAUAGCGAAGGCAAUCCCCUGGACCUGUACUGACGCUCAUGCACGAAAGCGUGGGGAGCAAACA